UACGAAGGGUGCUAGCGUUGUUCGGAAUCACUGGGCGUAAAGCGCGCGUAGGCGGCUUUUCAAGUCAGGGGUGAAAUCCCGGGGCUCAACCCCGGAAUUGCCUUUGAAACUGGGAAGCUGGAGUACUGGAGGGGAUAGCGGAAUUCCUAAUGUAGAGGUGAAAUUCGUAGAUAUUAGGAGGAACACCGGUGGCGAAGGCGGCUAUCUGGACAGUAACUGACGCUGAGGCGCGAAAGUGUGGGGAUCAAACAGG
rnacentral:rRNA from 1 species